rnacentral:rRNA from 1 species
AUUGAACGCUGGCGGCAGGCUUAACACAUGCAAGUCGAGCGAGCGGCGGACGGGUGAGUAAUGUCUGGGAAACUGCCUGAUGGAGGGGGAUAACUACUGGAAACGGUAGCUAAUACGGCAGACCAUCAGAAGUGCGGACAUGGGAUUAGCUAGUAGGUGGGGGAAUGGCUCACCUAGGCGACGAUCCCUAGCUGGUCUGAGAGGAUGACCAGCCACACUGGAACUGAGACACGGUCCAGACACCUACGGGAGGCACCAGUGGGGAAUAUUGGACAAUGGGCGCAAGCCUGAUGCAGCCAUGCCGCGUGUGUGAAGAAGGCCUUCGGGUUGUAAAGCACUUUCAGCGAGGAGGCGUUACUCUCCCCAGAAGCACCGGCUAACUCCGUGCCAGCAGCCGCGGUACUAC